UCGCCCUUAGAGUUUGAUCCUGGCUCAGGAUGAACGCUAGCUACAGGCUUAACACAUGCAAGUCGAGGGGAAACGACAUCGAAGGCUUGCUUUUGAUGGGCGUCGACCGGCGCACGGGUGAGUAACGCGUAUCCAACCUGCCCACCACUUGGGGAUAACCUUGCGAAAGUAAGACUAAUACCCAAUGACGUCUCUAGAAGACAUCUGAAAGAGAUUAAAGAUUUAUCGGUGAUGGAUGGGGAUGCGUCUGAUUAGCUUGUUGGCGGGGUAACGGCCCACCAAGGCGACGAUCAGUAGGGGUUCUGAGAGGAAGGUCCCCCACAUUGGAACUGAGACACGGUCCAAACUCCUACGGGAGGCAGCAGUGAGGAAUAUUGGUCAAUGGACGAGAGUCUGAACCAGCCAAGUAGCGUGCAGGAUGACGGCCCUAUGGGUUGUAAACUGCUUUUAUAAGGGAAUAAAGUGAGUCUCGUGAGACUUUUUGCAUGUACCUUAUGAAUAAGGACCGGCUAAUUCCGUGCCAGCAGCCGCGGUAAUACGGAAGGUCCGGGCGUUAUCCGGAUUUAUUGGGUUUAAAGGGAGCGUAGGCCGGAGAUUAAGCGUGUUGUGAAAUGUAGAGGCUCAACCUCUGCACUGCAGCGCGAACUGGUCUUCUUGAGUACGCACAACGUGGGCGGAAUUCGUGGUGUAGCGGUGAAAUGCUUAGAUAUCACGAAGAACUCCGAUUGCGAAGGCAGCUCACGGGAGCGCAACUGACGCUGAAGCUCGAAAGUGCGGGUAUCGAACAGGAUUAGAUACCCUGGUAGUCCGCACGGUAAACGAUGGAUGCCCGCUGUUGGCCUGAAUAGGUCAGCGGCCAAGCGAAAGCAUUAAGCAUCCCACCUGGGGAGUACGCCGGCAACGGUGAAACUCAAAGGAAUUGACGG
rnacentral:rRNA from 1 species